rnacentral:rRNA from 1 species
AACGAACGCUGGCGGCAUGCCUAACACAUGCAAGUCGAACGAGACCUUCGGGUCUAGUGGCGCACGGGUGCGUAACGCGUGGGAACCUGCCCUUAGGUUCGGAAUAACUCCCCGAAAGGGGUGCUAAUACCGGAUAAUGUCUUCGGACCAAAGAUUUAUCGCCUUUGGAUGGGCCCGCGUUGGAUUAGCUAGUUGGUAGGGUAAAAGCCCACCAAGGCGACGAUCCAUAGCUGGUCUGAGAGGAUGAUCAGCCACACUGGGACUGAGACACGGCCCAGACUCCUACGGGAAGCAGCAGUGGGGAAUAUUGGACAAUGGGCGAAAGCCUGAUCCAGCAAUGCCGCGUGAGUGAUGAAGGCCUUAGGGUUGUAAAGCUCUUUUACCCGGGAUGAUAAUGACAGUACCGGGAGAAUAAGCUCCGGCUAACUCCGUG